CGUACUUGUAUUAGUUUAUCAAGUAGGCCCGCAAAAUUGGGCAAGUUAACACAAACCCAGAACCCUGCAAAACCCAAAGACUAACCAGAAAGAAGAGAAAUGGUGCAACCACCGUACGAGCCAUACUACCUCCACCAAAACCGCCACCAACCACCAGAAUACUACUUCCACCACAACAUCAGCGAAACUAUAAACCCUAAUUUCAACCAUUCUCAUGAUUUCAUCUCCAAUUCCAGUAAUAAUCCCAGUAUUAGCACCACCCCAAUUAUCCCAAUUCACAUCCCCAAAUCACAGCGUCAUAUCAACACCCUCUUCGUCUCCGGCCUCCCUGACGAUGUCAUGCCUCGCGAAAUUUACAACCUUUUCCGCCGUCGUCCUGGGUUCGAUUCUUGUCAGCUCAAGUUUACUGGCCGCGGCAAUCAAGUAGUUGCAUUUGUGACAUUUUAUAACCAUCAAUCAGCUGUGCUGGCAUUACAAGCCUUAGAUGGUAUCAAGUUUGAUCCACAAGCUGGAUCAGUUCUGCAUAUUGAACUGGCUAGAUCAAACUCAAGGCGAAAACAUAAACCAGGUAGUGGACCUUAUGUUGUGAUCGAUAAAAGGAAAAUAUCUGCAGAUGAUGCUGAAGAUACAUCAAGUGAUGAUGGUGAUAAUGAGUCUGAUCAGAGUGAAGACCCUGACUCUUCCAACAAUAAUACGCAGUCCACUGUGAAAAGUGAGGAGAACGUGAAACUUGGUGGUACUGUGGCUGCUGCAAAUGAGCAGACAGAAAAGGCCUCUCAAGGCGAUCUAAGGCCAUGCUCCACCUUGUUUAUUGCUAAUUUAGGGCCUAACUGCACUGAGGAUGAACUUAGACAAGCACUUUCUCAGUAUAUAUUCUGGAUUCAAUGGGCUGAAGCUGCGUGCUAGAGGUGGCAUGCCAGUUGCAUUUGCGGAUUAUGAGGAAGUAGAACAAGCUACUCAUGCAAUGCAAACACUUCAGGACAGCACGUUGCCGUCUUCAGACAGGGGUGGCAUGCACAUUGAAUAUGCUAGGUCUAAAAUGAGAAAGCCAUAGGCAAAGAAAUAUCGGGAUAUUCAUGCGAUAGUGCUUCUUAAGUGCAUUAUUGUAAGCAAUGGCAGAUGCUGCAUCUGUAGUUGUCCCUUUUCUCCUUGAAUACUAGUUUUAGUAAAUUAACAAGUCGCACACAGAUAAAGCUUGUAAACUCUGAAGAUCAUUUCUGACAUGCAGACAACUAAAUCUUACCAUAGCUUUUAGUAAGAUUUUCAAGGCUUUUUAGUGCUGUGCGCUCAGCUUACAAUUGUGCCCCAGUUUGUAUUUGGUACUGUAUACUCAACAAGAUAGACAGCAAAUGAAAGAUAUACUGUACGGAGUUAGAAAGUUAUGCCAUCUGUUUAGCAAAA